GAGCCAUAAGAUCCGGCUCCCUUCAAAGAGCCGUUAUUCCCAACACUAUACCCAUCGGAGGAAAGCCGGCGCCAGAAGGGCUGACUGACCCUGAGCCCACUUGUAGAGAGAUGCGGCCUGCAUCUGACGGCGCUGUUUUUCUGCAUUCUGAGGAUUGUGCAGAGCCGUGACUGGCUUUCCGGCCCAUCGGUCUUCAUCAGGAAAGGUAACGAGCAGUGAGACCGGAUUUUGGAAUCGAAGGCAUCCAAGGAGAAUGAUUGGUUGAGGCCAAACAUCUCGUGACAGUAAGGAUAUGACAGUGUAGCAACAUUGGACCAUACCACAAAAUCCCCUGAAACGGGGGGUUGAUACACCCCAUUGAAGGAGCAAUUGGAACGGCCCUGACAGGAAGCCAGGUCAAACGCUGCUCGCACGGCGGACCGGCAGAGGCCCGGAUCCCCAGUCCCGACCAAGAUGCUAUAGCGUGUGAGAAUCCCAGGAGGGUCCAUUCAGCUUCCAUUCAUGCAAUGUAAAUAGCAAUUUAUGCGGGACCAAGAGGAGACAGCCACACCUUCGUGUAUCCGGGGGGCGCCUGCCCUUCAGCCGGGCGGGUGGAGAAGGCGAUCUGGGUGGACGCCCCCCCGAGAUCCAGGGAGCCGAU